CAAAGUUUGCGGGAGCCACAGCUGAGGGUUAAAAGAGCCUGCAGCUCGCAGUCGCCGACCCCUGGUCUAAUGUCCGUACCUGCCUCGCAUGGACGUCACCUACCAGCAGCCCACCCACCUGGUGACAGCCACCAGCUCUCAAAGUGUUGGGCAGUGGAGCACUGGCCUCUGUGAUUGCUGCGCUGAUGUGGGCACCUGUUGCUGUUCCCUGUGGUGUUUCCCCUGCAUGCAGUGUGAUACAGCCAACAAACAUGGAUGGUGUUGCUGCAUGCCAGCCCUGGAUGGUCUCUGUUGUUGUCUGGUGUCCUGCUUUCUCCGCAAGUCCAUCAGAGAGCGCUACAACAUCCAGUUAAAUGCUGAGUUGUCCACUUUCUCUCAUUUCUUUACAAAGCUGAGAGAACCAGAGAAAAGGCAUGGACGUCACCUACCAGCAGCCCACCCACCUGGUGACAGCCACCAGCUCUCAAAGUGUUGGGCAGUGGAGCACUGGCCUCUGUGAUUGCUGCGCUGAUGUGGGCACCUGUUGCUGUUCCCUGUGGUGUUUCCCCUGCAUGCAGUGUGAUACAGCCAACAAACAUGGAUGGUGUUGCUGCAUGCCAGCCCUGGAUGGUCUCUGUUGUUGUCUGGUGUCCUGCUUUCUCCGCAAGUCCAUCAGAGAGCGCUACAACAUCCAGGGCUCUUGCUGCGACGACUACUGUAAAAUACUUUGGUGUUACCAGUGUGUCUGGUGCCAGAUGCAUCGUGAGGUGAAGAUCAGGGCCAACCUGCAGCCCACCACCGCGAAUAUGGUCGCCACCUAGGCCAUGCGUUGGGAAGUGACUGUUUUAUUUUGUGGUUUGCGAGCAAAUGUUACUGUUAAAACCAGAUGUUAAGAGUUUUGUUGGCAUAUUAAUGUGUUGGAUGGUACCUGAGACAAGCUUUCAUUGUGACAAAUAAAAUCCUUCUAUUUCAUACAA